rnacentral:rRNA from 1 species
AGUCGAGCGGUAACAGAUCUAGCUUGCUGGAUGCUGACGAGCGGCGGACGGGUGAGUAAUGCAUAGGAAUCUGCCCGAUAGUGGGGGAUAACCUGGGGAAACCCAGGCUAAUACCGCAUACGUCCUACGGGAGAAAGGGGGCUCCGGCUCCCGCUAUGGGAUGAGCCUAUGUCGGAUUAGCUAGUUGGUGAGGUAACGGCUCACCAAGGCCACGAUCCGUAGCUGGUCUGAGAGGAUGAUCAGCCACAUCGGGACUGAGACACGGCCCGAACUCCUACGGGAGGCAGCAGUGGGGAAUAUUGGACAAUGGGGGAAACCCUGAUCCAGCCAUGCCGCGUGUGUGAAGAAGGCCCUCGGGUUGUAAAGCACUUUCAGCGAGGAAGAACGCCUAGCGGUUAAUACCCGCUAGGAAAGACAUCACUCGCAGAAGAAGCACCGGCUAACUCCGUGCCAGCAGCCGCGGUAAUACGGAGGGUGCAAGCGUUAAUCGGAAUUACUGGGCGUAAAGCGCGCGUAGGUGGCUUGAUAAGCCGGUUGUGAAAGCCCCGGGCUCAACCUGGGAACGGCAUCCGGAACUGUCAAGCUAGAGUGCAGGAGAGGAAGGUAGAAUUCCCGGUGUAGCGGUGAAAUGCGUAGAGAUCGGGAGGAAUACCAGUGGCGAAGGCGGCCUUCUGGACUGACACUGACACUGAGGUGCGAAAGCGUGGGUAGCAAACAGGAUUAGAUACCCUGGUAGUCCACGCCGUAAACGAUGUCGACCAGCCGUUGGGUGCCUAGCGCACUUUGUGGCGAA